rnacentral:rRNA from 1 species
UUGGAGGGCAAGUCUGGUGCCAGCAGCCGCGGUAAUUCCAGCUCCAAUAGCGUAUAUUAAAGUUGUUGCAGUUAAAAAGCUCGUAGUUGAAUUUCGGGAUUCGUCGGUUGGUCGGGCUUCACUGUCCGCACUGACCUGACGGGUUCCUACCUUCUGAAUAACCAGCAUGCUAUUAAGUUAGUGCGUUGGGGAAGCAGAGCUAUUACCUUGAAAAAAUUAGAGUGCUUAAAGCAGGCUUGUGCUUGAAUAGGUUAGCAUGGAAUAAUAAAAUAGGACGGCAUGGUUCUAUUUUGUUGGUUUCUAGGAUCACCGUAAUGAUUAAUAGGGAUAGUUGGGGGCAUUAGUAUUCAAUUGUCAGAGGUGAAAUUCUUGGAUUUAUUGAAGACUAACUUCUGCGAAAGCAUUUGCCAAGGAUGUUUUCAUUAAUCAAGAACGAAAGUUAGGGGAUCGAAGACGAUCAGAUACCGUCGUAGUCUUAACCAUAAACUAUGCCGACUAGGGAUCGGACGAUGUUAAUUUUUUAAUGACUCGUUCGGCGCCUUACGGGAAAC